rnacentral:rRNA from 1 species
UACGGGGGGAGCAAGCGUUGUUCGGAUUUACUGGGCGUAAAGGGCGCGUAGGCGGCCACCGCAAGUCGACUGUGAAAUCUCCGGGCUUAACCCGGAAAGGUCAGCCGAUACUGCGGGGCUAGAGUGCAGAAGGGGCAACUGGAAUUCUCGGUGUAGCGGUGAAAUGCGCAGAUAUCAGGAGGAACACCUAUGGCGAAGGCAGCUCGCUGGGACGGUACUGACGCUGAGGCGCGAAAGCGUGGGGAGCGAACAGG